AUUGGAACCAACGGGUGGGGGCUGGACAACUGCUGGGUGGAACACCUCCAGGUUGCCCGCUCAGGGAGGCCUUAGUGUCUCCCUACCCUUGUACUUGAGGCUAAACUGGGACCUCCCCACCCGCCAUUUCCCAGGCCAAGUCAAUUUCAUGUAAGUUUCCUAGGCCUGGGAACAGGAAGGGAUAUGUGUCCAUUCAUUGUUAGGCUAUCUAUACCCCUAGCCAAAGACCCCCGUUGAGAUUUUUUCUGACCUGAGUUUUUUCCUCUGCCAGAUGUUCUGGUGCUUUCUCUGUAUUCUUUUCUGUAAAAUAAUCCUGUCUUGCCACUGAUCUGUGGUCCGUAGAUUCAUUCUUAGAAUCCCUGAGACCAAGGACCUACUGAAGAAGCAAUUCCAGUAUCACUUUUAUCACUGGUGACUGAUCCAGGCAGUCUAGAGCCUACAGAUGGAGUCUGGGGUUGCCCAAUAGUUCGUAGGAGCCCAGGCCUGACUCCAGCACCUGCGACUGUCGGAAAGGAGUCCGGGGGUCUGAAGAGAAAGACGUGUAAGCAAGUAUUUCAGUGCAGCCUGGCCCAGGUCACAACAGAAGGUAAAAGAAACUGGUUUUCGAGCCUGCGCAACGUCCCUGGAAGAAGUUGCUUCUCCUUGAGCUGCUCUUACUCAGCCCAAAGUUGAAGGUCAGAAGGCUACAGGCAAGUGACACCCAGGAAAGAGAUGACAGAUGUAGAGGAAUGUAGUCCCAGUGGAAACGGCACUAGCAAUUUCCAAGGUUGGGCAAAUUUAUGUCUAAUUUGUCCCAGAAGAAGAAUUUUUUUGCAAAGAAUGUGUGUUAGCCUGAAUUCGCUCCUGGAUUGUGACUCUCUGCCUAUGGAAGUCAGUAAGC